rnacentral:lncRNA from 1 species
CUAGCAUGGGUUGCUGAAGACCAAUUCUAACCCGGAUCUUAACAGAGGGUCGUUAUUCUGACGCAGUCAACACACCGCAAAUGAAUCUACAUACGUCACUGCACCCGGGGUUCUUUAAAGAAGAUUCGAAGCGUCGUUUUGAUCAAAGGCCGAAGAGCGGUUGGUGUCGGGUUGCCAGCAAUUUUCACACAUCAUAGACUCGUGACAAUUAUGAGUCUUUAUUGUGGAGCUCUACCAGUCUGUCGGGCGACACCAUAAACUUUUGCACGCCACUAGAACUUAGUAAAGAGAGGCUAACGUCGGGGAAGACAGCCCCGGAGAAUUGCUGGUAUUACUUGGGAAACGCGCAGGAUGACAGCUAUCGCAUGCUUGUAGCCUACCAGAAUGACUGCCGGAAAUCCAGUCGACGUUAUGCCGAAUCUGUCACAGUUAUUCAUACCCGUUCGUUUUGCUUUCGUUGUGCAUGUUUUGCUUCUUAUGAGAAACUGGCAUGGUAGACGACUGUAGUGUGGUUAGUGUGGUAGAAACUGUUGUAGAUGCUGGUGAGUGGCCAUGUUGAGUGGUGAAUCGUAAGAGAAAAUGGCCGACCUUGCAGUUUCGAAUCGGUUUUGUGAAAGGCUCUGAAACGAUGUCCUGUUCAGUCCACGUAUCAGUCUGUGCUUGGUAGAAUAUGUUUUGUGUUUAUUGCGUGAAUAUCUUUGUUUACAGGUUUUGCGUUAUCCAUUAAUAUAGUUUAAACCAUUAUUUUGUCUCUUACAGCCGGGGGAAUAUUUGUUCCCAGAUAACAGAGAACUGAACAUUCUCUUACGUUAAAGACUUUUUCUUCUUUGAAACUAAUUUACGUUCAGUGAAUGUAUGGGUGUGUUUUGUGAAUGCUUUGUCUGAAACUCUGUCACGUUUACUUCAUGCAUAAACUUUGAGCCUGUUUUUGUCCAUUUGAUCUACAACAUUCACAUUCAGUCUAUACAGAAACCAGGAACAUGUUCAUACCCAUUAGGACCAAACCUAUUUCACAUUUAGGCCAUGGAUAAACCCUGAACAUCAUUUUAUCAGUUAGGUUUUAAACACAUUCAGACAUGCAUAAAUAUUGGGAACGCUUAGUGCCCACUAGAUGUUAAUAUCUGUCACAUGCACUCACUUGUGUCAGUGUCUCAAACCCACCAUCAGAUGAUAUAUGGGGCAUGACUAAUGUUUAUUAUUGUCACUUCUGUUUCGGUCACUCAUCAUCUUGUGAUGAUGUCCAAUCUCUUGUAUGUUUCGUGUUGUCAGAUCAGAAAAGUACACCAACUGCUUUCUCGUCAAAAAUAUGACAAAAGUGACUCACUUUCCCAGUCUCGUGCAUUUUGAUGACUUCGCACAUUUACACAAAAUUUAAUCAAUGUCGAUUCAUGGUGGUAUCACUACGAUCCACUUCAAAUUUACUUUCUUAUCUUAAAUUUUCUUAAUUAUUUUUUGUCUGUGUUUAAGAAAAAAACACGGAGAAGGGAUGUAAAUUCUGCCAUUUCCCGCAGAAACGCACCAGGAACCUUUUCUUGACCUGCCAGUUUAGAUAUUUUUUAAUUUAGAAGAGUUUUUAUCACGAAGAGCUAUUUUCGCCACAGUCAUACUUAACGGAAAAUAGUAAGACAAACUGUAGCCAGUGUGGUCGAUUCUAACCAACCUUCACUAAUUGAAGCUAUUUCGGAAACAUAAAUGUCAUUCUGACAAAGAGAAUUGACUUAGGAAUGAUUGUCUUAAUUGUGUCUGCGCACAUGCCUUUAAACCAUGUUCAGUCAUGUUUCUGCAGGUGGAGAUGCCAUUAGAACUGUGUACACAUUGUCUGAAGAAUGUCUCAUUUACUUCUUAUCUCUGGUGGGUUUGUAAUCCUUCUGGCAUAAUAUUUGCGAUUUAAGCCUAAUAGUAAAUGCUGUGUUGUUGCA